UUGUUCCUUGUUAACCUUCUCAGUUCUCAGUCUCAGUGACCUUGUUGAGUUGUUUGAGCAAUCAAGAAUCAACUGGCAAAGUUGCAACUUGCAAUAUUAAUUAUUUAUUAUUUCAUUGAUUCUUGGACCUUCCAGCUUUCAUCGUUGGUGAAUGACAAUUAUUGACAAACCUCUCAUUGGAGUAGGCUACAUACUUACUUCCAAGCAAAGGAAGGGCUAAUCGAUAGGAAGUAAAGUUAUCUGCGGGCAGCUGAGUAGUCCUACUGGUGUUGGUGCAGUGCAUCGAAUGUAACUGUUGCAUUCACUUACAACUGUUUACGACAUCACCUACGAUUUCUGAGGAGAGGACAAAGAUAGGUCACAAUCUUUGAAAAGUAUGGUUUAAACUAUGAUGGAUUUUCAAAAGUGUAAUUCAUGGGUUCGUUGGUGCGCUGACGCUGACGUGAAUAGGAAAAUGCGCAUUCUCAUUGAUGGAAAAUACUGUCAGUAUGUCGGACUACCUGAGAGGCAUAAAAUGACUGGUUUGUUCCAAAUGGUUCACUCACUCUACUAGUUUCAGUAUGCAUUGCAUAUUCACACCAUUGAGAGGCCUUACCAGUGUACAGUAUGUUCCACAAGGUUUACUUGGCUGUGUCGUUAUCUAAACGACCCCAUCAUGUCAACCUUGUGGAACAGACUGUAUCUACAUGUGUACAGUAUGUUCCAGAAGGUUUACAUGGCUGUGUCGUUAUCUAAACGACCCCAUCAUGUCAACCUUGUGGAACAGACUGUAUCUACAUGUGUACAGUAUGUUCCAGAAGGUUCACAUGGCUGUGUCGUUAUCUAAACGACCCCAUCAUGUCAACCUUGUGGAACAGACUGUAUCUACAUGUGUACAGUAUGAUGUUCCACAAGGUUCACAUGGCUGUGUCGUUAUCUUUGAACUUUAUUUUCGAAAAAAAACAUUACAAAGAAAACUAAAAACAAUAAGGGAACUUAUUGCAUUAGCAAGUUUAUGCUAAAUGUAGCUAUAUAUUUAUAGUUUAUUAAUAAUAAAGUAACAUUGCUGCUAGAUAUUAUAAUGUCUAUUAUAAAUAAUUACUGGUAAUAUUUUAGGGAAAAUGAUACCUGCAUAGGUUUGAAACCUGUGCGCAGGUAGGUUAUUAAAAAAAAGAUCAAACAAAGACACAAAGAAAAUUACAAACGAGUUGAUAAUUAGGCUAUAACUAACGUAGGCAGGUACCUAAAAAAAUAAAAGUGGAAACUUUCCAGAGAUGAGGUGAAAGAGAUUACAAUUAUAAAGAAGAAAGCAAGAUUAUGAAUAAAACAAGCAUUAGACUAAUUGAACAACAAAGUUCGCCUAGCUAUUUAAUAGUUAUGCUUCAGCUUAUGGAACCUAAUGGUUUUGCAAUUACCAACGAUGACAAUGAUUAUAUUUAAUUACAUUACGGUACUACUAUGAACAAGUUAACUAAAAAAAGGAGAAAUGAAAAGACACAACCAUGUGAACCUUGUGGAACAAGACUGUAUAUUUAUGUGCUCAUACAAAUCGAUCACGAUGCUCUGUGAGUCUAUUGGGGAGGUAACAGAGUGUACGUUGCACCGAAAAACACUGAUGGAACAGCUCGAUUGAGACAGAAGUUUCUUUCUCAGUCCAGCAUUCAAUCAGUUUUCGCAUCCUCCAAGAGCUUAUGAUUGGUUUGGAUGAGCAUAUGCUUAUUUAUGUGGUAAAACUGAGAUAACCUUUUGGUACAGACUGUACACUGGUAAGGCUUCUCAUUGGUAUGAGUACGCAUAUGUAUAUUUAAAUUACUAGAGUGAGUGAACCUUUUGGAACAAACUGUACACUGGUCGAGCUUCAUGAUUUACAUGAAUGCUCAUUUAGAUUAA
rnacentral:lncRNA from 1 species